ACUCCUACGGGAGGCAGCAGUGGGGAAUAUUGCACAAUGGGCGCAAGCCUGAUGCAGCCAUGCCGCGUGUAUGAAGAAGGCCUUCGGGUUGUAAAGUACUUUCAGCGGGGAGGAAGGCAAUACGGUUAAUAACCGUGUUGAUUGACGUUACCCGCAGAAGAAGCACCGGCUAACUCCGUGCCAGCAGCCGCGGUAAUACGGAGGGUGCAAGCGUUAAUCGGAAUUACUGGGCGUAAAGCGCACGCAGGCGGUCUGUCAAGUCGGAUGUGAAAUCCCCGGGCUCAACCUGGGAACUGCAUUCGAAACUGGCAGGCUUGAGUCUUGUAGAGGGGGGUAGAAUUCCAGGUGUAGCGGUGAAAUGCGUAGAGAUCUGGAGGAAUACCGGUGGCGAAGGCGGCCCCCUGGACAAAGACUGACGCUCAGGUGCGAAAGCGUGGGGAGCAAACAGGAUUAGAUACCCCGGUAGUCCCAU
rnacentral:rRNA from 1 species